rnacentral:rRNA from 1 species
UUAACACCAAGCCAAGUCGGACGGAAAGGCCCUGCUUGCAGGGUACUCGAGUGGCGAACGGGUGAGUAACACGUGGGUGAUCUGCCCUGCACUUCGGGAUAAGCCUGGGAAACUGGGUCUAAUACCGGAUAGGAGCCAUUUUUAGUGUGAUGGUUGGAAAGUUUUUUCGGUGUAGGAUGAGCUCGCGGCCUAUCAGCUUGUUGGUGGGGUAAUGGCCUACCAAGGCGGCGACGGGUAGCCGGCCUGAGAGGGUGGACGGCCACAUUGGGACUGAGAUACGGCCCAGACUCCUACGGGAGGCAGCAGUGGGGAAUAUUGCACAAUGGGCGCAAGCCUGAUGCAGCGACGCCGCGUGGGGGAUGACGGCCUUCGGGUUGUAAACUCCUUUCGCUAGGGACGAAGCUUUUUGUGACGGUACCUAGAUAAGAAGCACCGGCUAACUACGUGCCAGCAGCCGCGGUAAUACGUAGGGUGCGAGCGUUGUCCGGAAUUACUGGGCGUAAAGGGCUCGUAGGUGGUUUGUCGCGUCGUCUGUGAAAUUCCGGGGCUUAACUCCGGGCGUGCAGGCGAUACGGGCAUAACUUGAGUACUGUAGGGGUAACUGGAAUUCCUGGUGUAGCGGUGAAAUGCGCAGAUAUCAGGAGGAACACCGAUGGCGAAGGCAGGUUACUGGGCAGUUACUGACGCUGAGGAGCGAAAGCAUGGGUAGCGAACAGGAUUAGAUACCCUGGUAGUCCAUGCCGUAAACGGUGGGCGCUAGGUGUGAGGGUCUUUUCACGACUUUCGUGCCGUAGCUAACGCAUUAAGCGCCCCGCCUGGGGAGUACGCCGCAAGGCUA